rnacentral:rRNA from 1 species
UACGUAGGGUGCGAGCGUUGUCCGGAAUUAUUGGGCGUAAAGAGCUUGUAGGUGGUUUGUCGCGUCUGCUGUGAAAACCCGAGGCUCAACCUCGGGCCUGCAGUCGAUACGGGCAAACUAGAGUGUUGCAGGGGAGACUGGAAUUCCUGGUGUAGCGGUGAAAUGCGCAGAUAUCAGGAGGAACACCGGUGGCGAAGGCGGGUCUCUGGGCAACAACUGACGCUGAGGAGCGAAAGCGUGGGGAGCGAACAGG